GCCCCCUCCGCCAUGGAGGUCUCUCCCCCCUCCGAAAUGGAGGUUUGUCUCCUCCACCAUGGAGGUCCUUUUCUCCCCUACUAUGGAGGGUUGUUUUUCCCCUUUACCCUUCCUCCAUCUCUACCCACCUCCACUGUGAGAGACUCACCACCAUCCCAACCACCACUAACACUCACAUAACCUCAACCAUAACAGAUCUGACCCCAUCUGAGCGGCCACCACCUGAACCUCCACCCACUUCCUCCACUUCCAUGAACGCAUUUGUGCCGCCGGAUCCAGAUCUGUGUCGCUUGCCACCAAAGCCUCCAUGGUUGAUUUGCAUUUUAGUCUACUUUGUGUUGUUUGUUUUAUGCUCAAGUGUUUGUUGUUGAUUUUACGUUAUAUGUGUGUAGUAUUGUGUUAUGUGUUUUAUGUUCAGGUUUAGUUAUCAAAAGUGUAUCACAACUGAGUUUUGAUGCUAUAAAGCACAUAAGUUGUGUAGUUUUUUACGAGGAUGCUCCCCACUUCAAUACCUUUGCCUUUUAUCAACUGAUUUUUGUCCAGCAUGAUAAAGUGAACAAAUCCGAGACCAAGUUUAGUCAAAACGCGCGUGAUGAAGCCAAAAAUAUGAUCCGUAACUGGAUAGGAAAAAAGACUUUGGAUUCUCACAUCUUCUUUAUCAGCAUUAGAAGAUGAAAGCUGUUGAUGAAUGGGUUGUUAGGUUAUGAAUUUUGGUUUAAUUUCUCAUAUUUGUCUGCAAAGUUUAUGUGUUUUGCAAAUCAUGCUCUUGUAGGAUUUUUCUUUUGUACUGGAUCUUCAAAAUUGUUGGGGAAUGUCCCUUCAAUGUUAACGCUAUCUGCUUGUAAUGUUCUCUAUGUUAUGAAAUGCUAAGCUAGUGUUUACCGUAAAAAUAAAAAUAAAACUAUUACUAAAUAAUAUCUAUAUCAUAUAUUAUUUCUUAACAUAUAUUAUCAACUGUUUAAAGAAAUUCAUGCGCUAUUGGGGUUGAGUCUAACGGAAGGAGUUAGACUUUCACAACCUGACGAAUCAAUGGUUCAAACUCUAAUAUAGAAUGAUAUUCAUAUUUAG
rnacentral:lncRNA from 1 species